AUGCAGGCAAGCAUAGUUCUUCUAGUGCGGAAUAAAUCUGUGGUGGCAAACAUGUUAAUAUUAUUGUUUUUCUUUUGGAUUCGGGUACGUCCAUUGCAGUUAUGUAUGUUCGUAGUUGGCGGACGAACCGCUGAUGGUUGCCAUCGAAUACCGGUGGCAUAAUGGCCGAAAUAGCUUGUUUUAUCGUCGCGUCCAUUUAUAAUUUAAUAACGUUUAUAAUCUAUAGCUUUAUAUAUUCUUUCUAACCUCUUAUACAAAAAUCUUUUCUCUAUAUAUAUUAAAUUAAAAAGUCCCAUGAGAAUAUACUGUUAAUUACAGUUGAAAUAACUUACGUAGAUGCGUGACUUUCAACACGCAUCUACGUGAUUUCUAAACGUACAAUUCACCAACAUAAUAAUAGAACACAUACUCUUAAACUUCUUAAAUGCUCUAAAUUUCUUAUUUCUUAGAAAUACACUCAGUGUGUAGCAAAUCUCAAUGUCACUUUACAAAAUAUGAUUCCCCUGCAGGAUGCCUGUUAAAAAGAAAAACUGAAGAAACUUUAGAACUAGAUGAUGACAAUUGAAGAAGUUGAAAAACUGUUAUUCAUGGUGUCAUAUCGGGGCUUCAGUUCUCCAUGUUUGUUAGUUAUAUGCAAGAUAUGGCAUGGUAUGGCACUCUGCAUGUUUAUGAAAUGUAAUGAAAUGUAAAAUGUAAUGAAAUGAAGUGUAAAAGUGGGUGGAAAAACUAAAGAAGCGUAACGAUAAACUUUAAAGCAGAAUUUUGUCAUGCGAUUAUGGUGGCGAUAUGAAAGAACUAAUAUGGCAGUAUAUUACUAUCGUGAUUCCAAUAUGUUGUGUUUAUGAAAAUGAAAAAAUUAGAAGAUAAUCAAACCCAGAUUAUAAAUACAUUAGCAUCUCUGAUUGAUAGUGGAGAACAUGAUACAAAUGUUGGAGUG